rnacentral:rRNA from 1 species
UCUACGGGUGGCAGCAGUGGGGGAUAUUGCACAAUGGGGGGAACCCUGAUGCAGCGACGCCGCGUGGGUGAAGGAGCGUUUCGGCGCGUAAAGCCCUAUCGGCAGGGAAGAAGAUGACGGUACCUGACUAAGAAGCCCCGGCUAACUACGUGCCAGCAGCCGCGGUAAUACGUAGGGGGCGAGCGUUAUCCGGAUUUACUGGGUGUAAAGGGAGCGUAGACGGUUCUGCAAGUCUGAAGUGAAAGCCCGUGGCUUAACCGCGGAACGGCUUUGGAAACUGUGGAACUGGAGUGCUGGAGAGGCAAGCGGAAUUCCUAGUGUAGCGGUGAAAUGCGUAGAUAUUAGGAGGAACACCAGUGGCGAAGGCGGCUUGCUGGACAGUAACUGACGUUGAGGCUCGAAAGCGUGGGGAGCAAACAGGAUUAGAUACCCCUGUAGUC